GUGUAAAGUUAUUUUACAUUGAGCAGUGGGUUUUACGUAUUUGGGGUGGAAUCAGGGAUAUUAGCAUAUGAAUAAGCAACGGCUAAAUCCUUGCCAGCAGCCGCGGUAACACGGGGGUGGCGAGCGUUGUCCGGAAUUAUUAGGUGUAAAGGGCAGGUAGGCGGAUAUAUAAGUUUUUUGUCAAAUUCAACGGCUCAACCGUUGCGCGGCAGGAGAAACUGUAGAUCUGGAAUGAGGUUGGGGAAGACGGAAUUCCUGGUGUAGCGGUGGAAUGCGCAGAGAUCAGGAGGAAUACCUAAGGCGAAGGCAGUCUUCUAAGCCGUAAUUGACGCUAAACUGCGAAGGUGUGGGUAUCAAACAGGAUUAGAUACCCUGGUAGUCCACACAGUAAACGAUAAUCACUGGGU
rnacentral:rRNA from 1 species